UACGAAGGGGGCUAGCGUUGUUCGGAAUCACUGGGCGUAAAGGGCGCGUAGGCGGCCGAUCAAGUCGGGGGGUGAAAGCCUGUGGCUCAACCACAGAAUUGCCUUCGAUACUGCAGGGCUUGAGACCGGAAGAGGUAAGUGGAACUGCGAGUGUAGAGGUGAAAUUCGUAGAUAUUCGCAAGAACACCAGUGGCGAAGGCGGCUUACUGGUCCGGUUCUGACGCUGAGGCGCGAAAGCGUGGGGAGCAAACAGG
rnacentral:rRNA from 1 species